rnacentral:rRNA from 1 species
AUGUACCACAGGGUGCACUCGUUCGGUCCAAGAUCUCGCCCUGAACAUCUGCAGUUGUACUUCUACGAUGACGAUCCAAGCUUAAGCCAUCGCAAGGAGGCCACCAAGCAAUUGGACCAGCACGUUGUCAGCAAGUUAGUGGACGUCCUCAGGGAAAACCCCUACUCCCAACAGUUUAGGAGUUUGGGUGCCCACAAGGAAAACCUCGAGGAGUACCGGAUAGACCUCAACAUUGACCAGAAGCUAGACCAACGAAGAUAUAAUAGACCCGUGUCAUCCGAGGUGGCUGCGAUUUGGGUCGAGGGAAGCGAUCUAGCAAACAGGUUCAACCGCAGCAUUACACUCUAUGGGGACACCAACGAGAAGUAUAGUAUACAUGCCACAGAUGGCUGUUAUGACCCGCUCUCGUAUCCCCUCUUUUUUCCAAGGGGGGAGCUUGGUUGGCAUCCAAAUAUCCCUAAGCACAAUGUCCCUUGGGAGGUUGCACAACAACCAAGAGGAAACCGUGAUAACGAUUCAGGUGCGCCUGGUUGGUAUGCUUAUAUGCCAGAAAAAGUUCUCUGUCCUUCCAUAUGGUACCUAACCUUCUUCUUUCACGUCUUUCCACAGAGGGGAACAGCCGGUUGUGUGUCUCUGUCAGGGACUACUACUGUUACCGGCUACAGACGCGCCCUGCGAUAUUCAACCCCAUACUACUGUCAGGGACUAAUACAUGGACAAGGAACUAUGUAUCUGAUAAUUAAUGAAGAACCCAAGCUGAGUGAAGCCAUCAGUGAUCUCCUCAUAUCUCUACUAUCUCAACUAUUAAAGGAUGAGUUUUUCUAG